rnacentral:rRNA from 1 species
UGCAAGUCGAGCGGUAAGGCCCUUUUGGGGGUACACGAGCGGCGAACGGGUGAGUAACACGUGGGUGACCUGCCCUUAGCUCUGGGAUAAGCCUGGGAAACUGGGUCUAAUACUGGAUAUGACUCCAUGUCGCAUGGUGUGGGGUGGAAAGCCUUGUGCGGCUAGGGAUGGGCCCGCGGCCUAUCAGCUUGUUGGUGGGGUGAUGGCCUACCAAGGCGACGACGGGUAGCCGGCCUGAGAGGGCGAUCGGCCACACUGGGACUGAGACACGGCCCAGUCUCCUACGGGAGGCAGCAGUGGGGAAUUUUGCGCAAUGGGCGAAAGCCUGACGCAGCGACGCCGCGUGAGGGAUGACGGCCUUCGGGUUGUAAACCUCUUUCAGCCCUGACGAAGCGAAAGUGACGGUAGGGGCAGAAGAAGCACCGGCCAACUACGUGCCAGCAGCCGCGGUAAUACGUAGGGUGCAAGCGUUGUCCGGAAUUAUUGGGCGUAAAGAGCUCGUAGGCGGUCUGUCGCGUCGGCUGUGAAAACUCGGGGCUCAACCCCGAGCUUGCAGUCGAUACGGGCAGGCUGGAGUUCGGCAGGGGAGACUGGAAUUCCUGGUGUAGCGGUGAGAUGCGCAGAUAUCAGGAGGAACACCGGUGGCGAAGGCGGGUCUCUGGGCCGAUACUGACGCUGAGGAGCGAAAGCGUGGGGAGCGAACAGGAUUAGAUACCCUGGUAGUCCAGCCGUAAACGUUGGGCGCUAGGUGUGGGAUCCCUUCCACGGGUUCCGUGCCGCACCUAACGCAUUAAGCGCCCCGCCUGGGGAGUACGGCCGCAAGGCUAACACUCAAUGAAUUGACGGGG